rnacentral:tRNA from 1 species
UGGGGGUAUGGUGGAAUGGUAGACACGACGGACUUAAAAUCCGUUGGCCGCUGAGGCUGUGAGGGUUCAAAUCCCUCUACCCCUAUC